GAUCAGGUGGCCGAGUGGUUAAGGCGAUGGACUGCUAAUCCAUUGGGGUUUCCCCGCGUGAGUUCG
rnacentral:tRNA from 1 species